UGGCAACAGUAUUGCUCUGGCUCCA
rnacentral:piRNA from 1 species